AUAGUCUGCUUAACUGUAUACAUUUAACUUUAUUUACUAUUAUAGUCACCAAUUUUAAGUGUAUUACCUAAAUAUGACAGAGCAACCUCAAAUGGACAGACAACAUGUGGCAAAACUUGAAAUAAAUAAUGUUUGUAAAAUUUAUUUUCAUUUCUCAGUCAAAGCAAACAAAAAUCCAUAAGACAAUUGAUGCAUAUAUUGUCCUGAAACAGAAUCAUAACAAUAAAAUAUAGUGUGAGUGGUGGGGCAGGGCAGGGCUUUAUGUGAGAGGGGUAUCAGGCUUGCAUUCAUUUUUGGGUUGACAACAUAUGUAUGCAUCAAAAUUAUGGGAUAAGAUGGACACCAAUAUUUACAUAAAUAGUAUUCAAGUGAAAUAUAUAAACAUCCAGUAUCACAAAAUAUAGUAUGUUUUGUUUAUUUUUUUUUA